GUUCUGCUGUCACUAUCCUGUUUAUAAGCAUGUUUUCAAACAUAAAUCAUGUAUUAAAAGAUGAAAUCUAAAUUUUUGGGUUUUCUUAGCUAUUUAUUUGAUGCUGAAAACAGCGUACUACUUCACGAGAACCACGAUUUUUGGAGACCGGAUCCAAAUCAUAUCGAUUAACACAUCUGCGAGCAAGGACUAACUAUGGAAUUGGGAGUCUUCAGAAAAUACAAUAAGCCCAUAUUCAAGUUGUAGCACAACCAAGGUUCUUCCUGAACAUCAAAGAAGUAUGGAAUGCUUAACAGGCCAAUGGGGAUGAGUGCAAUAGAUGUCAAAUGUGAGAUGUGAAAAAUGCCUGACAGAAUGUGUAGGCCAUUUUGGUUACACAGAUUAGAAACUUUAGGUUCUUCAUGUUGGUUCUUUCAAGGCUGUUAUAACCAUGCUGCAAACAGUUGGCAAGGCAUGCUCAUUUCUUCAUUAUGAUUAGAUGAAAAAUUUUUAUGGAGUAAAAUUAAGGAACCCAAAGACUCCUUACAGCUGGUUUGGUUAAUAUGGUCAUAACAAUGUUCUGCAUCCAUGUAUCCAAAAAGCUGCAGCCUGGUCAGGGUCAAAUCCUAAAACCGGGUCAAAGAAACAGAUUUUGUCUUAUUCUUCGACCCAAUUUUCGGAAUUACAAUAUGUUCAGUUUAAGAAUGAAGGGGAAAGAAAAGUUUAAAAAAAAAAAAAAAAAUGUAGUUGUGCAUCAGCAAAGGAUUUAAAGGUGUUAGCAGGUUGCAUUGUUAAAUCUACUAUCGGAUCUGGGUCACACUAAUAUAUUUUACGUGCUAUUGCAUGAAUAUGGAUAGGAUUUCGACUUUCAAAUUACGUGAAACUGUCGUGUAGCUUCUCAGUAUAUGAUGAACCAAGGAUUCUCCAUCGGCAUUGUAGAUGUAGCACUUGAAGCCGUCGACGAAGCAGAUGAGGCAGGCGAUAGCGAAUAAAAUCCGUUGUUGUACAGAGUGCAUUUGCGACACUUCGGUGUUAGUUGUGCAAUCCGCAGAUGGAGCGAUGUUUAAACAAAUACCAAAGUCAGACGUCCUUCUGUUCAACGUUUGAAAACGAAAUGGACAACAUAUUGUUCCGCAAUAUGUUCCAUUACGAUCUCUGUAAUGGAAAAUAUUACAAGUGACUUCGUAUUUUAUGUCUGGAGAAUUGGAAAUAUUCUAGGACAAUGAAACCGAUGUAUGCUGGUACAGUUUUGUACGGGUAGUCCUCUUGAAGAGAACGGAGAAUUAUGCAUUAAUUUUAAAAAAAGGAAGUACAUGUGCUACUUCUCGUGCUUUGUACCAUAUUAAACGGCCGCCAAUCGAUUCUCCGGUAUAGGCUACUUGUCUAUUGACUUCGUCUCCUCACUCUGUAUCUUCACUGUUAGUCGCCAAACGGCAAAUAACAGAGUUCAGUUUGGGGAAAAUGUGCAGCAAUAUGUUCGGAAACAGCAGGUAAGAAGUGAUAAGUACAGUGAUAAAUAACAAUAUGCAGAAUUAGUUUAGCCUAAAAAUACCUUUUGAUGUAAGUCGCAUACGCGUGUAAAGAGCCACAGUCAACAUCCUUGCCAAAUUUUGAAUCCAAAUCACUUAAUUUCAUAAAAAUAUCUUAAAUUAUGAAUAAAUAUAUAAAGAGUCGUGCUUAAAUAUCAGCCAAACAUAUUCUAUCGAGUACUAGUCACAUUCUUUAAGGGAAAGCGGGGGAAUUUAAGCUUUGACGUGUUCACAUCAGCAUGUUUCAAAUCGCUAUCACUACAGUUCACGCAUUAAAAAACAAGUUUUGCAAUUCUUAGGAAAAACUUGCAUUUUGGUUAUAAAUAAAAAAAAAGAUGGCGCUGCUACGUCUGCUUAUUUGUUUUGUGAUUCCGUGUGACAAUAAGUGAGAUUCGUGUUAGAAUGUUUGUUAAUUGUGAUAUAUAUUCCAACAUAAAAUUUGAAAAAUGGUGUGCUACCGUCUACCGACUGCUCAGUGUUUUUUUAUUUUCAUGUGUUUUAUGGAAGUAUGGCAGAUCAAAAGGAUUACUUCUCGGGUAUCUUGUUAUCAUCUAUGCCAGCUGCCAAACCCAAAAAGUGUUAGCAACUUUAUGACUUUUGCAUUCCGUCAUACUAUAAAGUUACUCAUUUAGAGCUUUAGCUCAUGAAACUUUAAUUGCAAAGAAUACUGAAUAUGGAGGAAUGUCUCCAGUGAUGGAAAUCCUAUGGGUUGGAAUACCAUGAUGCUAUUCUGCUACUCUCUAUCUGCUCACCAUCUUCUGUCGGUACUGAUCUGACUAGUGCACCAUAUUCCUAUAUCCAUAUUCCUAUAUGCCAACUAUAAUCACCACCAUUUCAGCAUUCAUCUUGUAAUUUCUACUUUGCCAGCCAACACACAUAGACAUGGACCUCAAAACCAUUUCCCUCGAACUGCCAAGUCUUUGACUUCUUCUGCUUAUAACUGCUAGCCCUACAGUCUUUCCAGUCUUUGGACAACAGAUAACUAUGCCAUCUUCCUCUUCCAUUUCAUGCAAAAUUGAUCAUCAAUAUUAUAAGUUUUGCCUUCUUCGCUUCAUCGUUGCCCCGUCUGCGCCUCGCCCGUCAUCGUCUUCGCCUCGCCCGUCAUCGUCUUCGCCUCGCCCGUCAUCGUCUUCGCCUCGCCCGUCAUCGUCUUCGCCUCGCCCGUCAUCGUCUUCGCCUCGCCCGUCAUCGUCUUCGCCUCGCCCGUCAUCGUCUUCGCCUCUCCCGUCACCCCGUCUUACCCGUCUUUGCCUCACCCGUCGCCCGGUCUUCGCCUCACCCGUCGCCCGGUCUUCGCCUCACCCGUCGCCCGGUCUUCGCCUCACCCGUCGCCCGGUUUUCGCCUCACCCUUCACCCGGUCUUCGCCUCUUGGUCGCCCCGUCAUCACCUCUUCUUCGUAAUAUCUGGUAUCGUUGUAUUUUGUAAUGUGUAGUGUUAAUUAA
rnacentral:lncRNA from 1 species